rnacentral:rRNA from 1 species
GUCGAACGCUGAAGCCCUUCGGGGUGGAUGAGUGGCGAACGGGUGAGUAACACGUGGGUAAUCUGCCCUGCACUCUGGGAUAAGCCUUGGAAACGGGGUCUAAUACCGGAUAGGACACGUGGCCGCAUGGUCUGCGUGUGGAAAGUUCCGGCGGUGCAGGUUGAGCCCGCGGCCUAUCAGCUUGUUGGUGGGGUGAUGGCCUACCAAGGCGACGACGGGUAGCCGGCCUGAGAGGGUGACCGGCCACACUGGGACUGAGACACGGCCCAGACUCCUACGGGAGGCAGCAGUGGGGAAUCUUGCGCAAUGGGCGAAAGCCUGACGCAGCAACGCCGCGUGGGGGAUGACGGCCUUCGGGUUGUAAACCUCUUUCGACAUCGACGAAGCCUUCGGGUGACGGUAGGUGUAGAAGAAGCACCGGCUAACUACGUGCCAGCAGCCGCGGUAAUACGUAGGGUGCGAGCGUUGUCCGGAAUUAUUGGGCGUAAAGAGCUCGUAGGCGGUUUGUCGCGUCGGCCGUGAAAACCUGCCGCUUAACGGUGGGCGUGCGGUCGAUACGGGCAGACUUGAGUUCGGUAGGGGAGACUGGAAUUCCUGGUGUAGCGGUGAAAUGCGCAGAUAUCAGGAGGAACACCGGUGGCGAAGGCGGGUCUCUGGGCCGAUACUGACGCUGAGGAGCGAAAGCGUGGGGAGCGAACAGGAUUAGAUACCCUGGUAGUCCACGCCGUAAACGGUGGGCGCUAGGUGU